GCCGCGGGCUCGGCCCCCUCAGUUCCCGCGCUCGGGCUCCGCCGGGGCCCAGGAAGUGGCCCUAGGCCGCGGCCCUCGCUCCGCCUCCUCCCUCCCGCGCUUAUCACCUGCUGGCCCGGCGCGCGCGGGCGGCGAAGGAGGGCGCGAGGGGGAGCGCGCGGGCGGCCAGGCGCCGGGUCGCGGGAGGUGAAGCGCGGCGAGGAUGGCGGCGGCGCGGGGCCGGGGGCUGCCGCUGCUCCUGCUCGCGCUGUCGGUGCUGUUGGCGCUGGGCCCCACCGCCGCGGCGGCCAAGCUCAACAUCCCCAAAGUGCUGCUGCCCUUCACGCGGGCCACGCGCGUGAACUUCACGCUGGAGGCCUCAGAGGGCUGCUAUCGCUGGUCAUCGACCCGGCCGGAAGUGGCCAGUAUAGAGCCACUGGGUGCCGACGAAGCCCAGUGCUCCCAGAAGGCCGUGGUGCAGGCCCGCCUGUCCCAGCCUGCCCGCCUGACCAGCAUCAUCUUCGCCGAGGACAUCACCACGGGCCAGGUCCUCCGCUGUGAUGCCAUCGUCGACCUCAUCCACGGCAUUCAGAUCGUCUCCACGACCCGCGAGCUGUACCUGGAGGACUCGCCCCUGGAGCUGAAGGUCCAAGCUCUGGACUCCGAAGGGAACACUUUCAGCACCCUGGCUGGGCUGGUCUUUGACUGGACGAUCGUGAAGGACACGGAGGCUGAUGGGUUCUCGGACUCCCACAACGCUCUGCGAAUCCUCACGUUCUUGGAGUCCACGUAUAUCCCUCCUUCCUACAUCUCCGAGAUGGAGAAGGUGGCCAAGCAGGGGGACACUGUUCUCGUGUCCGGGAUGAAGACGGGGAGCUCCAAACUUAAGGCGCGCAUCCAGGAGGCUGUCUACAAGCACGUGCGCCCUGCGGAGGUCAGGCUGCUCAUUCUGGAGAACAUCCUUCUGAAUCCAGCUUAUGAUGUCUACUUGAUGGUGGGGACCUCCAUUCGCUACAAGGUGCAGAAGAUCAGGCAAGGAAAGAUCACAGAGCUGUCAAUGCCUUCCGAGCAGUAUGAGCUCCAGCUUCAGAACAGCAUCGCAAGCCCCGAGGGAGCCACAGGCCAGCCUGUGACCAUCUUGGACCAGGAUACGUCGACAGUCACCGCUGUGCAACUGGGACAGAGCAGCCUGGUCCUGAGCCACAGGAGUAUCCGCAUGCAGGGUGCUUCCAGGUUACCCAACAGCACCAUCUACGUGGUUGAACCUGGAUACCUGGGGUUCACAGUCCAUCCUGGUGACAGGUGGGUGCUGGAGACCGGCCGCCUGUAUGAAGUCACCAUCGAAGUGCUUGACAAGUCCGGCAACAAGGUCUACCUGUCAGACAAUAUUCGCAUUGAAACCGUGCUGCCUCCCGAGUUCUUUGAGGUGCUCACUUCUUCCCAGAAUGGAUCAUACCAUCACGUCAGGGCAAAAAAGAGGGGCCAGACGGCCAUCGAGGCAGCCCUCACCUCCGUGGUAGACCAGGAUGGAGGGGUCCACACAUUACGGGUGCCUGUGUGGAACCAGCAGGAGGUAGAAAUUCACGUCCCCAUCACCCUCUAUCCGAGCAUCUUGACGUUUCCGUGGCAACCAAAGACAGGCGCCUAUCAGUACACAAUAAAGGCCCAUGGUGGGAGUGGGAACUUCAGCUGGUCUUCGUCAAGCUAUGUGGUUGCCACUGUCACUGUCAAGGGUGUGAUGACCACAGGCAGUGACACCGGACUCAGUGUGAUCCAGGCACAUGAUGUGCAGAACCCGCUACAUUUCGGGGAAAUGAAGGUCUAUGUGAUCGAGCCCAGCAGCAUGGAGUUCGCCCCGUGCCAGGUGGAGGCCCGUGUGGGCCAGACCUUGGAGCUGCCCCUGAGGAUCAAUGGCCUUAUUCCUGGCGGGGCCAACGAGGUGGUCACCCUGAGCGACUGCUCCCAUUUUGACUUGGUUAUUGAGGUGGAGAACCAGGGCGUGUUCCAGCCACUUCCAGGGAGGCUGCAGCCGGGGUCUGAGCACUGCAGUGGGGUCAAGGUGAGAGCAGAGGUCCAGGGCUACACCACACUCCUUGUGAGCUACAGACAUGGCCACGUCCACCUGAGCGCACGGAUCACCAUUGCCGCCUACCUGCCCCUCAAGGCUGUGGAUCCCUCCUCUGUUGCCUUGGUGACCCUUGGCUCCUCAAAGGAGAUGCUGUUUGAAGGAGGUCCCAAACCCUGGGUCCUCGAGCCUUCCAAGUUCUUCCGGAACAUCACCUCCGAGGACACAGACAGCAUUAGCCUGGCUCUCUUUGGGCCCUCUACCUCCCGGAAUUACCAGCAACACUGGAUCCUUGUGACCUGCCAGGCCUUGGGAGAACAGGUCAUCGCCCUCUCGGUGGGGAAUAAGCCUAGCGUCACCAACCCUUUCCCGGCGCUGGAGCCUGCUGUGGUGAAGUUCGUCUGCGCCCCGCCCUCCAGGCUCACACUGACCCCCGUCUAUGCCAGCCCACAACUUGACCUGUCGUGUCCGCUGCUGCAGCAGAACAAGCAGGUGGUUCCGGUCUCCAGCCACCGCAACCCCAUGCUGGACCUGGCCGCCUAUGACCAGCAAGGCCGCAGAUUCGACAACUUCAGCUCUCUGAACAUCCAGUGGGAGUCAACCAGGCCCCUGCUGGCCAGCAUCAGGCUGGAGCUGCCCAUGCAGCUAGUGGCCCGGGAUGAUGGGAGCGGCCAGAAGAAGCUGCAUGGCUUGCAGGCCAUCUCGGUUCAUGAGGCAUCGGGGACCACGGCCAUCUCCGCCACCGCUACUGGCUACCAGCAGUCCCACCUCAGCACGGCCAGAGUGGAGCAGCCGUACGACCCUCUCGUGCCCGUGUCAGCCUCCAUAGAACUCAUCCUGGUAGAGGACGUGAGGGUGAGCCCAGAGGAGGUGACCAUCUACAACCACCCCAGUGUGCAGGCGGAGUUGCACAUCAGAGAAGGCUCGGGCUACUUCUUCCUCAACACCAGCACCAUGGAUGUCAUCAAGGUGGUCUACCAGGAGGCCAGGGGUGUGGCCACGGUGCACCCUUUGCUCCCAGGCAUGUCAACCAUCAUGAUCCACGACCUGUGCCUUGCCUUCCCAGCCCCAGCAAAGGUGGAUGUGUUCGUCUCGGACAUUCAGGAGCUCUACGUACGCGUGGUGGAUAAGGUGGAGAUUGGGAAGACGGUCAAGGCCUAUGUCCGCGUGCUAGACUUUCACAAGAAGCCUUUCCUGGCCAAAUACUUUGCCUUCAUGGACCUGAAGCUCCGAGCGGCUUCUCAGAUCAUCACGUUGGUGGCCCUCGACGAAGCCCUUGACAACUACACAGCCACGUUCCGCAUCCAUGGUGUGGCCAUUGGCCAGACCAGUCUCACCGCAACGGUGAUGGAUAAAGCUGGACAGCGAAUCAACUCGGCCUCCCAGCAGAUCGAGGUCUUUCCCCCAUUUAGGUUGAUACCCAGGAAGGUGACGCUGAUCAUUGGGGCCAUGAUGCAGAUCACCUCGGAGGGCGGCCCGCAGCCCCAGUCCAAUAUCCUCUUCUCCAUCAGUAACGAGAGCGUUGCCGUGGUGAACAGCGCGGGGCUGGUGCGGGGGCUGGCCGUCGGCAAUGGCACUGUGUCUGGGGUCGUGCAGGCUGUGGAUGCUGAGACUGGCAAGCUUGUCAUCGUGUCUCAGGACCUCGUGGAGGUGGAGGUGCUGCUUCUCCAGGCGGUGAGGAUCCGAGCCCCCAUCACUCGCAUGAGGACAGGAACCCAGAUGCCUGUUUAUAUCACUGGGAUCACCAACAAUCAGAACCCUUUCUCCUUUGGCAAUGCUGUGCCAGGCCUGACCUUCCACUGGUCUGUCACUAAGCGGGACAUCCUGGACAUCCGGGGGCGACACCACGAGGCUUCACUACAGCUGCCGUCACAGUACAACUUUGCCAUGAAUGUGCAUGGCCGGGUGAAAGGCAGGACCGGGCUGCGGGUGGUGGUCAAGGCUCUGGACCCUGCUGCUGGGCAGCUGCACGGCCUCGCCAAAGAACUCGCCGAUGAGAUCCAAAUCCAGGUAUUCGAGAAGCUGCUGCUGCUGAACCCUGAAAUAGAAGCAGAACAAAUACUAAUGUCACCCAACUCAUUUAUAAAGCUUCAGACAAACAGGGAUGGUGCGGCAUCUCUGAGCUACCGCGUCCUGGGUGGGCCGGAGAAGGUCCCCGUGGUGCACGUGGAUGAGAAGGGCUUCCUGACGUCCGGGUCUGUGAUUGGGACGUCUACAAUCGAAGUGACUGCUCAAGAGACUUUCGGGGCCAACCAAACCAUCAUCUUUGCCGUAAAGGUGUCUCCUAUUUCUUACCUGAGGAUCUCCAUGAGCCCUGUCUUGCACACCCACAACAGGGAGGCUCUGGCAGCCCUGCCUUUGGGAAUGACUGUGACCUUCACAGUCCACUUCCACGACAACUCUGGAGACAUCUUCCAUGCUCACAACUCGGUGCUCAGCUUUGCAACCAACAGAGACGAGUUUGUGCAAAUCGGGAAGGGCGCCAUCAACCACACGUGCGUCGUGCGCACCAUCAGCGUCGGCCUGACGCUGCUCAGCGUGUGGGAUGCCGAGCACGUGGGCCUCUCCGACUUCGUCCCGCUGCCUGUCCAACAGGCCAUCUCCCCGGAGCUGUCCGGAGCGCUUGUGGUGGGAGACGUGCUCUGUCUGGCCACAGUCCUGGUCGGCCUGGAAGGCCUCUCUGGAACCUGGAGCUCCUCAUCCAGUAACGUCCUCCAUAUCGACCCGAGGACAGGCGUGGCGGUGGCCCGAGAGGCAGGAUCUGUGACCAUUUACUACGAGGUUGCUGGGCACCUGAGGACCUACAAGGAGAUAGCGAUUGGUGUCCCUCAAAGGAUCGUGGCCCGUUCCAUCCGCCCAGGCCAGACCAGCUUCCAGGAGGCCUCCAAGGUGACCGUCACCGUGGGAGACAGAAGCUCUAACCUGAGAGGGGAGUGCUCCCCAGCCCAGAUGGAAGUCAUUGAGACUCUGCGUCCAGAAUCCCUCAUUAGCUGCCAGGUUCAGUUCAAGCAAGACGUCUUUGACUUCCCAGCACGCGACGUCUUCACAGUGGAGCCAGGAUUUGACGCAACUCUAGGCCGGUACCUCUGCUCGGUCAUGAUGCACAGGCUGACAGACAAGCAGCUGAAACAUCUCAGCAUGAAAAAAACAGCACUGCUGGUCACCGCCUCCAUCCCGGGCAGCCAUGCCCCCAGAGAGCAUGUGGGCGCCGAGGUGCCCUUCAGCCCAGGGCUGUACACUGACCAGGCUGAAAUCCUUUUGAGCAACCAUUACACCAGCUCCGAGGUCAAGGUCUUUGGUGCCAUGGAGAUUCUUGAGAACCUGGAGGUGAAAUCGGGGUCCCCAGCCGUGCUGGCCUUUGAGAAGGAGAAGUCUUUGGGGCUCCCCAGCUUCAUCACCUACACUGUCGGCAUCUCAGAUCCCACAGCCGGCAGCCAGGGGCCUCUGUCCACCGCCCUGACCUUCUCCAGUCCCAUGACUAAUCAAGCCAUCACCAUUCCGGUCACCGUGGCCUUUGUGAUGGAUCGCCGAGGGCCUGGUCCUCACGGCUCCAGCCUCUUCCAGCACUUCCUGGACUCCUACCAAGUGAUGUUCUUCACGCUUUUCGCCCUGCUGGCUGGGACUGCUGUCAUGAUCAUAGCCUACCACACCGUCUGCGCGCCCCGGGAGCUCAACGCACCUCCGGCCCUCUCCCCCCGAGCCAGCCCUCGCCACAGCCCCCACUGUCUGCUGUAGGGGAGGGAGGUCAGGCUUCCGCUCCAGGUCUCCCUGAUGUCCGGACAUCACUACCAUCCCUUGGGUGACAUCACGCCACUGACCCAGGGCUGCCUAGGGGACUGGUCGCUGGGGGAACGAGGUGGCCGAGAUUUUGCCGCCUCAUCGCCAACGCCUUUCAACGCACUGCCUCCCAGCCGCAGAGCCAGCCCGCCCUCAAGGCUGUGGAGCCCCGCAUACACCUCCCACUAGUCGGCUGGCCAGCCCUGCGCCCCCACGGUGGGGACACCCCUGCUCAGCCUGGCCUGGAGUACCAGGCCUCCUCGCUGCCUGUCCUGGCCUGUAGCUCAGGCCGUGCCCGCUAGCUGCUGCUGACAUGUAGGAGUCCCAGGUGGCUUGGAUUUGGUUUUGUUCUUAGCCUUCGCGAACACGCUGGCUCGUCCUUCAUGCCUGGUUGUCUGGGGUUUCUGGGCAACGUGCAGUCCUGCUUCUCUUUUCCCUCCAGGCUCUAGAACCCCCUUCUUCUUAAGACUUUAAACAGGCAGAAGCUCCAUUUCCUAGGAGGGGUUGGUACUGCAGUGGCCUCAGGGAUUUUUGUGGGGUUCCCCCGCACCAUGAAAACUUUACCCUUAGUCUGGCUCCUGCUAGGAGAUGAGGAGAGAGAACAGACAUGAGUGUCAGAUGUGGGCCCUGUGACCACACAGAAGCCUCAGAAAUGCAGCAAUGGCGACCCCGUGCUGGCUCAGCCUUCCCGGGGGACCCUACGGGCCAUGGGAGCUGUGAGCCGGCUGCUCUCUGCCCCUCUGUGGACCACUGUGAAUUUGUGUUUCUGUUUCCUAAGCGUGGAAAAGUCUCCUGGGACGUGGCCACAGCCCCACUGGGCUAUCUGGUGGGGUCUGGUUCCUUCUCUCUCUCCCCGCUUCUCUAUGGAAUUGUAGUUAGGAAAAGGUCCUUGAGCCAGAAACCAGGAUCUUUCCUUCCAUGUGUUCUUCCGGAGAAGCCACUGUAUUCUGCCCAAGCACAAAGACCCAGGGUUAUCUGUUCCUCCUUCCGCAUCUCAGCAGACCUGAGCCUCUGGCCCGCCCAGUGUGGGCCCCAGUCUCCCCGUGGCAUUCCCCCAGCGAGCCACGGAGCCCGGCCUGGCCAGUGAGGGCAGUGGGCCUGCUCUCCAGGAAGGGGCUGGGAAGGAGAAGACAAUGAAGAGAAGGCCCUCUUCCUUCCCAGCCCAUCAUUUAGCACUGGAGGCCUCCAGACUGUGGCCCCUCUGCCUGUGGCCAAGAGCCGGGCCACUCUCAGGAUGAACUCGAGACACCCCCCCGCCCCCAAGCCAGGUACGCGUGGCUGCUGCGUGGGGAGUCAUCCACUUUGACUCUGAGCCACAAGUGUGAAUCCGCUGCAGGCCUCUAGGGCUGGGCUGUGCGAUUUAUUUUUGUAAAGCUGGAGACAGGAAGAAUUGUGCCUUGCAUAUUACUUGAGCUCAAACUGACAACUUGGAUGUAAAUAGGCGCAUUUCUACUUGGUUUAUUUAAUAAAGCUCUCUCUAAUUUCGUAAGAA